rnacentral:rRNA from 1 species
CCUACGGGCGGCUGCAGUAAGGAAUAUUGGUCAAUGGACGAAAGUCUGAACCAGCCAUGCCGCGUGGAGGAUGAAGGUCCUCUGGAUUGUAAACUUCUUUUAUCUGGGACGAAAAAAGGGCAUUCCUGCUCAUCUGACGGUACCAUAUGAAUAAGCACCGGCUAACUCCGUGCCAGCAGCCGCGGUAAUACGGAGGGUGCAAGCGUUAUCCGGAUUCACUGGGUUUAAGGGGUGUUGGUAAGGGAGGGUAGAAAUCCCCGAGCUUAACUUGGGAACUGCCAUUGAUACUAUCAGUCUUGAAUACCGUGGAGGUCAGCGGAAUAUGUCAUGUAGCGGUGAAAUGCUUAGAUAUGACAUAGAACACCAAUUGCGAAGGCAGCUGGCUACACGAGUAUUGACACUGAGGCACGAAAGCGUGGGGAUCAAACAGGAUUAGAUACCCCAGUAGUC